CUGUGAGCGCAUUAGCUCCAUUUAGUGAGCACAUUUGCUGGGAGUAGAAAUCAGAGUUAACUGACGAAUCUUCAGUAAGUGGCUGUUGUCAAAGAUUUCAGCAUUUAUAAAUGUGCAUAUAAAUGUUCAGUACAUGGCUGAUUUCAAAGAUUUUAUACUCCAUUUGGUGAGCACAUUUGUUAACAUUAAAUUAGUGUUAACUGAAUUACUGUCAAAGAAAUUAUUUGUUGUUGUCAUAUUAGUGUUAGCAGUAUUGAGAGGAUCACUGAAUUUGGCAGUAAUCAAUUUGGCAGUACAAAUUGUCAGGCUCACUGGAGUAUAGAGUGAUGGGUUGAUUUACAAAUACUGAAGAUAACAUAGAGAUUUGGAGUUUAGAUAGAAUAAGCUUGACAACAACUACUGCAUAUUUAGGGUCCAAAAUAUGAAUAACUUAGAGUUUGGCAGAUAAUAACAGAAGUUUUAAUUUGAUUGUCUUCAACUGAUCCAUUUAACAGAAGUUUAACUUUUCUAAACCUUUUCCUUUUAAAUGUUCGCUUUCAUUUUCAGCGGACUGACCAGAUUCAUGGUACAGUUGAACUGAAAGGAGAAGGGCAUUUUCAUCAAAGGAACAUUUAUUAGCCCCUAGCUAGCACUCCUAAAGGCAAAUCAACUAAUGCUUCCCCAAACUCUGUGAACAAAAGUGGCAAUAAGAGGGGACUGACAAAACAUGAGGUGGCCGGUACUCAGCUGCGCAAGCCCUUAUUUCCAAACGAUAGCGCCCAGGAAAGUGGGCCUCUGGAGGAUAACAUCCAUGCUUUGAGCGAGGAAGUUGCUUCUAAGCUAAGGAAAGCAAAUGAAAAAGUGGCAGGGAAAGCUGAUGUGCCCCCUGACAGCAAAAUAGCCAAGCUCUAGACCAAGUGCCUUUAGGCCACAUACCCUUUUGAAUCAUGUCAUGUCCAGUGCAGUGUUCAAGAGAACACUGACUUGAUGGAUUGGUGCUUCGGCGCAUGUUGGAUUGAAAGACCGCUUCUAUCUACCAUCGCUUUUCUUAUGCCCUGUCACUUAUAAUGCAGUGUUCUAUUUUGCCGUCCAUGGCUGACCUUACCUUAUUAUCUAUGAACAAGCAUUCUCUAUAGUUAGAGAUUGGUUUGUAAUGGAUCUGUGCUUAAGAAUUCCAUUCGUUUAGCCGUGUGUUGCUUAUGAAUGUACCGCCGUAUUUCACAGGUAGACCUAAGGAUAUUAUGAAAAUGAUCAUGUUGCUUGUCCCUUGCGUGUGUGAUGCAU